GUUAAUUGUUUUGGAUGCAGCAUUAUUCGUUGCCGCUAGGACCAAUCCUGAUAGACUAGUUGCAGUUUUGCUUUGCGGAUCUUGUUCAAGUGAUUGGAUGCAAAAAUCAUACUUGAGAUUAGGGUCUUUUGCUGCAGCUGUUUUGCAGGAAUCUCGAAUCAAGGUUUGCGCGGCUGCGAAACAGUUUAGGAGGAGAAAGAACAUUACAACUGAAACGAAGAACUUCAUGCUUUUGUUUUCUUUGUGAGAGAUGAGAAUAUAUGAAUAUGAUGUUAACUUUGUGAUUCACGAGGCUGAUAUAUAUAUAUAUAUAUCUGACGUAAGGGUAUAUGUCAUUGUUUCCCGUUUUCUUGUGUGUUAUAAACUUAUUAUAAAAAGAAUAUUUCAGUUUUAGUAAGAAGAUACUAUUUCAUAUUAAAAACUCUGUUUACAUUUUUAAAAACUAUAAUAUAUUCACUUGGAUUAUUUCUCAAAUUGUCAAUUUAUCUGAACAUGGUCAACAUGUAACAGUAGUUUUCCAUAUAUACACGUCGUCAGAUUUAGUCAACUCUCAGAGCAUCAUUACUGGUUCAAUUUCUUAGUGGAGUACCUGAUGAGUUUAAUAUUAAUAGAGUUUUAUUGUGUAAUUAAAAUUAAAACCAAUAAUAUGUACAUAACCAUUCGUAAAGUAACAUGUGGCAAGAUGGAUUGUGUUGUACGUUUAUGAAAGCUUUCUAUUUUAUGAUCUCUAAGCUGGAGUUUUGAUGUUCUUUCUGGUCUUUUUAUUGUUGUAUCUGGUGAUGAUAUGAUACAAAAAGCCAAGAGGUAUGGGAUCUGCAUGUUUUCAAAUAGUGCAUAGGAAAAAACAGAGGUUCAGACAAGAGCUACAAGAAGGCUCACCUAAGAAAUAUAAGCCUUUGGCCGGAGCUUCUCACGCCAAAGGACUCGUCCUUGAGCUCAUGUAAGACAUAGAAUAUGCUUCUUUAUCUAUUUUUUUUGUGUGUGUGGACAUUGUUGAUGAUGAGCGAUUCUCUGUCUGUUUGAUUAUGCAGAGGAAUGUAGGCUAAGCAGCCAUGUUCUGGUAUAUGUAAGUGUACUAGAGUACAACUUGUCAAGAAUGGAAAGAAGAUUGCUGCUUUUGUCCCCAACGAUGGUUGUUUGAACCUCAUUGAGCCAAAUGUAAGCUGAAUGAAUAAAGCCUUUUGUAACCAUUUAUGAUUAGUUUUGUCAAAGGUUGAAUUCAUGUUUUGUGUUAUGUUGUUUGCAGGACGAGGUUUGAUAUCUGGAUUUGGGCGUAAGAGUCAUACUGUGGGAGAUAUUCCAGGCGUAAGGUACAAGGUCGUCAAGGUUUCUGGUGUUUUACUCUCUGCUCUCUACAAGGACAAGAAGGAGAAGCCAAGGUCUUAAAACAAAACCUUCAAAGCUUUGAAUUUUAUUUUUGAUGGCAUAAGCACUUUUCAGUAUUUUAGUUAAAUAAAAGAACUCUUGUGUUAUGUUCUACUUUGGGAUUCAGUAACUUGGUGUGUUAAAUCUUGUAUUCUGAUGACCAUUUGAGUUUUUAGUUUAUUCGACCUUAUAAUAUGUCACUGCCAAUGGCAUGGAAUUCUAUUACUAAUCCAAAACAAGUGAUACAUAUCACUACAUAAUGUACUCAUUCGUAAUCCUGGCAAUUAUAAGUCAUAAAGAUAAACAAAAGUCACACAGCCAGCUUACAAAUUGAAUAAGGUAGCCAAACAAGUUUAAGAUCACAUCAGUGACCAAUCAAAACAGACCAGAAACUAAACAGACCAUAUCUAAUAUACAUAAAUAAUUUUAUAAUCAAUUAUACAUUUUAACUCAUACAAAAUUUUAACAAUAAUCUAUUGUAAAAAUUAAAUUUAGUAAAACAUAAGAUAAUCCACUAAAAUAUAUAAAAUUAAGCAAAAAAAUUAUGUAAAUUUAUUUACAAGUUUGUUUCUUUUCUACUAACAAUAAAAAAAAAGAACAGGAUGGGUUUUUUUUAUCAUCCAACUACAGAAAAUCACAAAAUAAAUGAUGUAAUGCCACAUCAAAUUCUUAAUAUAUAAUUAAAACAUAGAUUACUUACCAAAAGAAAAUCAUCUUGAACCUUUUAACAAGAAAAAAAAAAUUCAAAAAUUUAAAAAAUCAUAACUAAUUUUUCAGAUAACAUGGUUUAUUUAGUUGUUCAUAUACAAUAACAUGCACAAAAUUUAACUAUUAUGUAUAUUUCUAAAUAAUAAAAAUUUAUAUUAAAUAUUUACUCUAGUUACUUAAUUUAUUUGUUAAUUUUCAUCCCGCAUUUAGGGCGGACCAGCCCUAGUAUAAUUAUAACAUACUGUAUUGAUUUUUUCCGCUAAGACAGUGGAGUAUUUAAAUUUUCUUUUUUUUGCAGAUAUUAUUUUUAGGGUCUUUUUGAAAAAAAAAUUUUCAAAUAAUAGCAAAUAUUUCCAAUGGAAUAAUUUUCCUUUGCUCUUAAAUUUAUUAUUAGGUAAACGAAAAUCCACAUUACAUAAUGCAAGAACUUAUGGUAAUUUCAUCAGAGCAUAUUGGUAAAAGCUAAAGGAAUCAAAAUCUUCUGAAACAAAACAUUGUUCUCGUUUGUAACGGGAGAUUUAGCGUGCUUCUCUUUGAAACCAUCUUCACAAGUGACAGGUUCAUCCAAAGCAGCACUCAGAUGCAUAUUAGCACUUUUGUAAUCACUGGAUUUAACGUUCAUCAAAGCUUCUUUUAAAGAACCAUAAGCAUCGUCAUAAAGCUUUACGCAAGUGCGUAACGCGGGUUCAGUACUCGGUGCAUACUUUUUGCUCUUGAGAAUAGUCUCAACUAUCCCUUUCACGUUAAUUGUUUUGGAUGCAGCAUUAUUCGUUGCCGCUAGGACCAAUCCUGAUAGACUAGUUGCAGUUUUGCUUUGCGGAUCUUGUUCAAGUGAUUGGAUGCAAAAAUCAUACUUGAGAUUAGGGUCUUUUGCUGCAGCUGUUUUGCAGGAAUCUCGAAUCAAGGUUUGCGCGGCUGCGAAACAGUUUAGGAGGAGAAAGAACAUUACAACUGAAACGAAGAACUUCAUGCUUUUGUUUUCUUUGUGAGAGAUGAGAAUAUAUGAAUAUGAUGUUAACUUUGUGAUUCACGAGGCUGAUAUAUAUAUAUAUAUAUCUGACGUAAGGGUAUAUGUCAUUGUUUCCCGUUUUCUUGUGUGUUAUAAACUUAUUAUAAAAAGAAUAUUUCAGUUUUAGUAAGAAGAUACUAUUUCAUAUUAAAAACUCUGUUUACAUUUUUAAAAACUAUAAUAUAUUCACUUGGAUUAUUUCUCAAAUUGUCAAUUUAUCUGAACAUGGUCAACAUGUAACAGUAGUUUUCCAUAUAUACACGUCGUCAGAUUUAGUCAACUCUCAGAGCAUCAUUACUGGUUCAAUUUCUUAGUGGAGUACCUGAUGAGUUUAAUAUUAAUAGAGUUUUAUUGUGUAAUUAAAAUUAAAACCAAUAAUAUGUACAUAACCAUUCGUAAAGUAACAUGUGGCAAAGUCUAUGUGCGACCAGACGUUUCUUCCCAUUUGACGCUCUCUCUCUUGCUUUAUUAAUUUUUUAUUAUUAUAAAUGUCAGUCUCAUGAGUUACUCUUCCACUGCAUGUGCUCUUAGCUUUCCAUAUCAUACAUAAAAUAUCAAAAAUGAGAUCUCUUCUACAGUUAUUAAAAAACAAAAAUAUACCUUUUAAUAUUGAUUUUCUCAAAAUCAUAUUUGAGAUUAGGGUCUUUUGCUGCAGCCGUUUUGCAAGAAUCUCGAAUCAAGGUUUGCGCGGCAGCGAAACAGUUUAAGAGUAGAAAAAACAUUACAACUGAAACGAAGAACUUCAUGCUUUUGUUUUCUUUGUUAGAGAUGAGAAGAGAUGACUACGAUGUUAACUUUGUGAUUCACGAGGCUGUUAUAUAUAUAUAUAUAUAUAUCUGAUGUAAGGGUAUAUAUUCUCCUUUCUUAUAUGUCAUUAUUUCCUGUUUUCUUGUUUGUUAUGAACUUAUCAUAAAAAAAAUAUUUCAGUUUUAAUAAGAAUAUACUAUUCCAUAUUAAGAACUCGAUUUAAAUUUUUAAAAAAUCAUAAUAUAUUCACUUUUAAGGAUUAUUUCUCAAAUUGUAAAAAUUUAUCUGAACUUGGUCAACAGGUAACAAUAGCUUUCCAUAUAUACACGUCAGAUUUAGUCAACUUUUAGACCAUCAUUAACCGGGGGUCUUAGCAAUAGGGUCCUUAGCAAAAACUAAUAAAAUAUUGGGUGGGUCUCACUAAUUUUUAAAAAUCGGGUCCCUAAGGUUGUGAUAUAAGGACAGACCUUCACUUGUUUUUUUUUUUGGUCUGGUAAAAAAAAAAAUUAGAAGGCGAACCAAAAAUAUAAAAAAAAAUGAGAUGUCUUCUACAAUUAUUAAAAAAACAAAAAUAUACCUUUUAAUAUUGAUUUUCUCAUCAAUUUUUCAUAUAGAGGUCGGCAUGCAAAAAUCCUAAAUCAAAAAAUGUGUAUUUACUAAAUAUUUAACUAACAUCUGUAUCAGGAAAAACUUUCAAUCUCAUUAUUUAUUCAUCACGCAAAAAAAUGAUCAGUACUACUCGUAAAAAACAGUGAUGUUGUGCAUUUUUAAAAAUAAAUAUUUAAUUAUUAAAAAAAUACAGACACUAUAGAAAAUUAAAUAAAAGUUUAAUUCCACAAAAACAAAAAAAAAUUGAAAAUUAAAAAAUAAAUCAAAAUAUUCAAACAAUUUUUCAAUAAGUAAAAAAAAGAUUGAAAACUGAAAAAGUUACAGAGAUAUUUUAAUUUUGAAAUUUGGCUAGAACCGAUAUGAACCAUCAUCAUUUUUUUUUAAAUAGGCCUAAAACAGUUUUAAUGAUUAACUAAAUUGGCUAUGUUGAAAACCGUCAACUCAUCGAUUUGUCAACGAUGUUAAGUCGAAAAUUGUGAUCAGAGACAUAAAGUAUUUUAAAUUUCUGUCUUUUUGCAAAUACUAUUUUAGUGUUUUAUAAUUUCAAAUAGUAGCAAAAAUUUCCAAUAAAAUAAAGUUCCUUUGCUAUUAUUUAUUAUUAGAUAAAGGAAAAUUCAUAGCACAUAAUACAAAAAGUUAUGGUAAUUUCAUCAGAGCAUAUUUGUAAAAGCUAAAGGAAUCAAAAUCUUCUGAAACAAAACAUUGUUCUCGUUUGUAACGGGAGAUUUCGCGUGCUUCUCUUUGAAACCAUCUUCACAAGUGCCCGGUUCAUCCAAAGCAGCACUCAGAUCCACAUUAGCACUUUUGUAAUCGCCGGAUUUAACGUUCAUCAAAGCUUCAUUUAAAGAAUUAUUAGCAUCGUCAUAAAGCUCUACGCAAGUGCUUAACGCAGGUUCAGUACCCGGUGGAUACGUUUUGCUCUUGAGAAUAGUCUCAACUAUCCCUUUCACGUUAGUUGUUUUGGACUCAGCGUUAGUAGUUGAUGCUAAGACCAAUCCUUUUAGACUAGUUGCGGUUUUGCUCUGUGGAUCUUGUUCAAGAGAUUGGACGCAAAAAUCAUAUUUGAGAGUAGGAUCUUUUGCUGCAGCUGUUUUGCAAGAAUCUCGAAUAAGAGUUUGCGCGGUAGCGAAACAGUUUAAGAAGAGAAAGAACAAUGCAACUGAAACGAAGAACUUCAUGUUUUAUUUUCGUUGUGAGAGAUGAGGAUUGAUGAAUAUGAUGUUUAGUUUUUGAUUCACAAGGAUGUUGUAUAUAUAUAUGUCGUAAGGGAUGUUAACAUAUUCACUUUUAAGGAUUAUUUCUCAAAUAAUCAAUUUAUUUUAACUUGGUUACAUGCAAUAUAUGCUUUCCAUAUGUACGCUUUAGAUUUAGUCAACUCAUUUUGAUGUGUUUCCAUAUCAUACAUACAAAUAUCAAAAAUGAGAUCUCUUGCCGUUUUCACCAACAUUUUAAUUAUUAAAAACAAAUAUUCACCUUUUAGUAUUGACUUUCUUAGAUUAUUGGUAUUUAUGGGCAUUUGGUUCAGUUUUUGUUUUUUUUUCGGUUCUAUAGGUUUAGGAUCUUUGCAGUAUUUAGGAAAUUCUGUUUGGUUUCAAUUCAUUAUUUCAAUUUGCGGUUCGUUCGGAUAACAAAGUUAGGAACCGGCUAAUAUCCAAGUUAAUUUUGGAUAUCAUUUGGUUCAAUUUUUGUUCUAGUUUUUUGUCAAUUCGGAUUAAAAAGUAGAAAUUCGGAUUUUUGAAUUAAAUAUCAGAUAUUUCAGGUUUUUGGAUAAAAAUUUGGAUAAUUUUAAAUAUUUCAAAAAUGUAUUAUGGAAUUCAUUUUUUUAGGAUAUUUUGGUUUAUAAAUAAUAUUUUCAAAUUAUUUGAUCAUUUGAAAACUAAAUAUAGUUAAUAUUUAGAAGUAUGUAAACUAUAUACAUAUUAUAGAAAUUCAUGUAUCUAUUCGAUUUCGGUUCGGUUUUGAUUUUUCAGUUUUAAAAAUUUAGGAUCCAUUCAGAUAAUUGAUAAGAUAAAAAUCUGAAUUGAAUCUUGUUUUUCGUUUCGGUUAUGUUUGAUUCGUCGGUUCCAGAUAAAUGUGUUCAAAUGAGUGGCGUGCAAACAUCUUGACUCAAAGUGUGUGCAUUUACUACACAAUUAUGUAGAAACAUUUUUUAAAGCAAAGUUUCAAAAAAGAAGAAGAGGAUUUAAAGCAGUGCCUUUUCUUUUUCUAUUGGAGGAAGAGAAUACAUGGUGAAAGUUUAGGUAACGUCAUGAUCCAUUAAUCGUACCGAUAUAUUUCUCUACCACAACGACUUAUUUUAGACUGCUUUUUUUUUGGUCAAAACUGUUUUAGGCCCAUUUAAAAUGUGGAUCUGAGUGCUGCUUUGGAUGAGCCGGGCACUUGUGAAGAUGGUUUCAAAGAGAAGCACGCGAAAUCUCCCGUUACAAACGAGAACAAUGUUUUGUUUCAGAAGAUUUUGAUUCCUUUAGCUUUUACAAAUAUGCUCUGAUGAAAUUACCAUAACUUUUUGUAUUAUGUGAUAUGAUUUUUCCUUUAUCUAAUAAUAAAUAGCAGCAAAGGAACUUUAUUUUAUUGGAAAUUUUUGCUACUAUUUGAAAUUAUAAAACACUAAAAUAGUAUUUGCAAAAAGACAGAAAUUUAAAAUACUUUAUGUCUCUGAUCACAAUUUUCGACUUAACAUCGUUGACAAAUCGAUGAGUUGACGGUUUUCAACAUAUCACUGUCAUUGUCAAUGGUGAUAUUUUCUGAAAGUCGUCAUCGUCAUUAGUGAUAUGUCAGAAAUCAUUAUUAUCAACGAUGAUAUGUGAGAAAAUUUUUAAAAUAUUUUUUUCUGUAACUUUUUCAGUUUUCAAUCUUUUUUUAACUUAUUGAAAAAUUGUUUGAAUAUUUUGAUUUAUUUUUUAAUUUUCAAUUUUUUUUUGUUUUUGUGGAAUUAAACUUUUAUUUAAUUUUCUAUAGUGUCUGUAUUUUUUUAAUAAUUAAAUAUUUAUUUUUAAAAAUGCACAACAUCACUGUUUUUUACGAGUAGUACUGAUCAUUUUUUUGCGUGAUGAAUAAAUAAUGAGAUUGAAAGUUUUUCCUGAUACAGAUGUUAGUUAAAUAUUUAGUAAAUACACAUUUUUUGAUUUAGGAUUUUUGCAUGCCGACCUCUAUAUGAAAAAUUGAUGAGAAAAUCAAUAUUAAAAGGUAUAUUUUUGUUUUUUUAAUAAUUGUAGAAGACAUCUCAUUUUUUUUUAUAUUUUUGGUUCGCCUUCUAAUUUUUUUUUUUACCAGACCAAAAAAAAAAACAAGUGAAGGUCUGUCCUUAUAUCACAACCUUAGGGACCCGAUUUUUAAAAAUUAGUGAGACCCACCCAAUAUUUUAUUAGUUUUUGCUAAGGACCCUAUUGCUAAGACCCCCGGUUAAUGAUGGUCUAAAAGUUGACUAAAUCUGACGUGUAUAUAUGGAAAGCUAUUGUUACCUGUUGACCAAGUUCAGAUAAAUUUUUACAAUUUGAGAAAUAAUCCUUAAAAGUGAAUAUAUUAUGAUUUUUUAAAAAUUUAAAUCGAGUUCUUAAUAUGGAAUAGUAUAUUCUUAUUAAAACUGAAAUAUUUUUUUUAUGAUAAGUUCAUAACAAACAAGAAAACAGGAAAUAAUGACAUAUAAGAAAGGAGAAUAUAUACCCUUACAUCAGAUAUAUAUAUAUAUAUAUAUAACAGCCUCGUGAAUCACAAAGUUAACAUCGUAGUCAUCUCUUCUCAUCUCUAACAAAGAAAACAAAAGCAUGAAGUUCUUCGUUUCAGUUGUAAUGUUUUUUCUACUCUUAAACUGUUUCGCUGCCGCGCAAACCUUGAUUCGAGAUUCUUGCAAAACGGCUGCAGCAAAAGACCCUAAUCUCAAAUAUGAUUUUGAGAAAAUCAAUAUUAAAAGGUAUAUUUUUGUUUUUUAAUAACUGUAGAAGAGAUCUCAUUUUUGAUAUUUUAUGUAUGAUAUGGAAAGCUAAGAGCACAUGCAGUGGAAGAGUAACUCAUGAGACUGACAUUUAUAAUAAUAAAAAAUUAAUAAAGCAAGAGAGAGAGCGUCAAAUGGGAAGAAACGUCUGGUCGCACAUAGACUUUGCCACAUGUUACUUUACGAAUGGUUAUGUACAUAUUAUUGGUUUUAAUUUUAAUUACACAAUAAAACUCUAUUAAUAUUAAACUCAUCAGGUACUCCACUAAGAAAUUGAACCAGUAAUGAUGCUCUGAGAGUUGACUAAAUCUGACAACGUGUAUAUAUGGAAAACUAUUGUUACAUAUUGACCAGGUUCAGUUAAAUUGACAAUUUGAGAAAUAGUCCAAGUGAAUAUAUUAUAGUUUUUAAAAAUGUAAACAUAGUUCUUAAUAUGAAAUAGUAUCUUCUUAUUAAAACUGAAAUGUUCUUUUUUCAUAAGUUUAUAACACACAAGAAAACAGGAAACAAUGUAAAAGAAAAAUUAAUUAUAAAAUAAUUAAUUUCUUUUUUAAAAUCUAAAUAAAAUAAAUAUAUAAAAAUAAUCUUAUAUUUUCUUAUAACUAACAAAAUUUACUUUUUAAUAAUUUUGUGUUAAAAAAAUAUAAAUCAAAAUUAACUUCAAAUAUUUCACCUGAUAUGAUUGUGACAUGUGUCAAUUAAAAAAAUAUAUUGAAUGUGUCAAUAAAAACUGUCAUUAUGUGAAGAUAACUUCAUCUUUUUCUAAAAUCCUUAAUAAAAGAGAUUUCUAAAAAAAAAAUAUUUUCUAACCUUAACCAAUUAAGAAUUUUUUUUCCUUUAAAAAACAAAUCCUGACCAGAGAGAAUUAUAAAAUUUUAUUUCAUAGUAAUUUGUACUUAUAAAAAUUAAUGAUAAACAUGAUAGUAAAAAAAUAUUUAGUUAACAAGAAAAUUUGUAAAAAAAUAUUAGUGAUAUUGGAAAAAUGAAUUUUGAAAAUGGCAACAUUUAAAAAUAGUUAAUAUUACUGAAAAUAAUAAUUUGAUAGAAAUUUUAUUUUUCUAAAUCCUAAAAAAAAUAUAACUGUAAAAGGUUAUGAAAUAUUAAUUUCCUUUUAUAAAAUCCUAACCAAAAGAGAAUUGUAAAAAAUUAUUUGAUAAUAUUUUUAAGAGAGUAUUUGAUGAUGAACAUGAUACAAAAUAUUAUUUAAUUAAAAAAAGAAGUGUAAAAUUAGCUUUGAUACAAAAUGUAAAUUUUUUUAUUAGUAACUAAAAAUAAUUAUUUGAUAGCAAUUUUUUUUCUGAAAUUCUAUAGAGAAGAUAAUUGUAAUAGGUUAUAUGAUAGUAAUUUUCUUUUUCUAAAAUCUUAAACAAAAUUGUGAAAGAGUUUUUUUUUUAAUUGUAAAUAAAAACGAGAUUUAUAAAAUAGAAUGUUUUCCUUUUUAAAAACAAAUCCUAACAAAAUAAAAUUUUAAAGAAUUAUUUAAUAAAACAUUAAAUUAUUACAUAAGAACAUGUAUAAUGUUGUCAUUGACUCGAUUGGUGUAUUUGACUUUCAUUUCUUUUUACUUUUCAUUUAGUUUCUUAUUUUGGGUUGUGUUCAGUUUAAACUUUUAGAUAUAGUAUUUUAUCUAAUCCUAAGUACAAAGUUUAUAAAAAUUCAUCUACGUACCAUGACUAUAAAAUACAAAUAUUAGCUUAAACUUAUGUGUAAAAAUGAUUUUUAAUUAUAAAAUAAAUCUCAAACAACAUAUGCAAAAAACAAUCAUAAAACUAUAAUAAAAUUAUUUAUUAUUUUAUAGUUUUUAUUAACUUAAAACAUUACAUAAAACCCGUUGCAACGCAACGGGCACAUAUAUUGUACAAAAUAAAGCUAUUAACGAGAACUAAUCAUAUUUAUUCAUAACUUUUGUUUUGGUAAAACUCACUUAACACCCUAUUCCUUAAUUAGGCUCUAUAAGGGGCCUGCAGCUCCACUAAACUUGGUAGUGGGCAUUCAGGUACCUAUUCAGAUCGGUUCCGGUUUGUUCAGGUUUUAGAUUUUCAGAGUUAAAGAUUUUAACCACAUUCGGAUAUUAAUUAAUUUUAGUUCGGUUAGGUUCUUUACGAGUAUGAUUCGGGUUCGGAUUACUCGUUUAAAUUAUAAUUAAAAAUUUUAAAUUCAUUUGUACUUUAAAUUUCUCAAAUUUAAAAAUAUAGCAAUAUAUAACAUAUAUACUUGAAUAAUGUAUGCUAAAAUACCUAAACUUAACAUAAAAAUUGGUUUGGUUUCAAGAUUUGGAUGAAUAAUCAGUAGAUAUUUUAAGUAAUUUUGAUGUUGUGAGGUUUUUUUGCUAUUUUAAAUAUUUACUUUUGACUAUUUGUAUAUAUUUUUAAGUAUAUUGGAAAACUUCAAAAUAUCUUAUAUAUUUUAUAUAUAUUUUGAAUAUUAAAUUUAAAAAUAACUAAUAUAUUGAAUUAUAAAUUUAAUGCGGAUAUAUUCAGAUACCAAAAUAUUUCGGUUCGGAUCGGAUUCGGUUCUAGUUCUCUAAUUAUCAAAAUUUUGAACCUUUUCAUAUAUGUAACCAAUUUUGGUACGGUUCGAUACUACUUUCCGAAUCGGAUUCGGUUCUUCGAAUUCUGGUUUUUUUCACAACCCUAACUAAAGUAGUUUGACAGCUAUUUUAAUGCGUGUAGAUGAGUAAUGCUAUUAAACGAGUAAGAAAGUCGAUAACAACAUAGACAUCAUUCUCUUUUCUCAGGGGAGAUAUAUGUUAAUUCUCGCCGUUAAAUGACAAUUCACAAAUUACGAGUCCAUCCAUCUCUUACCUUCUUGAGAACAUGUGAGGCCUUAUCCUAUUUUCACGCUUUCAGGUAUUCAAAGCUGAGGUUACGAGUGAUAGCCAUCUGAGUGAGUCUUAAGACAAUCUUCCAAAAACUUCUUACUACUCUUAAAUCUCUUCUCUUUAUAAUCUUCCCUCCAAUUCUUUUCAUGUUCGUAAGGUUUGCUAUAGCGUUUUACGUACCUACCAGGGUCAAUCAUUGAUAUUUUUCACUUUCUGGCUCUCGGGAUUCUCUUUGAAAUAUGCGAUGCAAAACUUAUAGAAUUCUUCGGUGUCUAACGGCAACGGGGUUCUAAUUAAAUUGGAAAUAUACUUGCAUUUUUUUUUUUGAUUAAUAGAAGCUGCCUCUUUGUUGGCUGUUAAACCACUGAAGAUAAGAACAUGGGCGGAUCUAGGAUCAAAUAUAAUUGGGGGUACAUACACAAAUUUUCACUAUACAUAUUUUUUUUAAUUGGGGGCACUUGUUCCAAAAUAAAGCUAAUCGUUAAAGAAAUACAAAAGUAGACGGCGUCCUCUCUCCAGAACGAACACAACGAGGUAAAUCAACAACAUUGUGUAUUGUUUGAAGAGUUAUAUACGGUCACUAAUGAAUGAUCGAAUUUAUAAGCAAACAAAACCUAUUUUUCUGCAUGUUUUUUUUUUGAAACUUUUCAUGUUCUAUAUUUUUCUUCAAAUAUUUUUCGAAUCAGAGAAUCUGACACUCUGUUGGCCAUGAAACGGUUUAUGAGGAGAAAGAACACAACACAUGCGUUCUUUUAGAUGGCUCAUCAUGUCAUGCGUUACCACUCCACUUCGUCGAAUUUCGUACUACCUUGAACAUGAGUGUUAUACAAACACAUGCUUUUCUAAUUAUCUAUAAGAGGUAUGUUUAUAAUACAAACGCACUAGAUGAUAACUCUUGCGCAUGCGCGGAAUGAAUUCAUAUAAUAAUGUUUGUUUAUGAAAUGAUUUUAACAUUUUGCAACACUACAAUUUUUAUCGAUUAUAAAAUGAUGAAUACAAAUGUUGGUCUCUUAAAUAUAUCAUUGUUGUUGAAAAGUUAACGUAUUACAUCUCAUUUCAAUUAUUUAUAAGAUUUCAUAUGCACAAAAGAAAAUUAAGUUUUGCGGCUGACACAAAUCACGAAAACAAAAUAAAAAACAUUGAUUGUAUAAUGACGAAAGGGGAUUAGGUUUUCUGCUCUCGAUUUGUUUACUAUUGACUCUCCAUAAGUGAUUUCAUUUUCUACCUCUAUAGAAUUGUGCUUUCGUGUUCGUCUUUGUUUCAUUGAUAUGAAUUAAGUUUCUUUUUUUAACUUCUUUCAUGAAUUCAGUGAAUUAUAUAAGUGUCAAUUAAAAAAAAAUGAACAUAUGUAAAAAAUUAGUUUCACUCCAUAUACAUAUCUAAGAGUCAAAAUUUUGAAAAAAAUCACCGGCAAACUAUAUUAACAGGCUAGUGUCCAAAUCUAAUAUAUCAACCGGUUUUAGAAUAUAAAUGCAGACUUGAAAUAUAAAUAUUUGUCUAGUAUAUAUUCAUCAGCUUGGUCUAAAAAUCAUCUAAUUAGAACAAUAAAAAAAAUUAUUUAUUUCACCAGUUCGGGUAAAAUUUGAAUCAGAACGGUAAUAUCCGAAUUCGAAUGGGUAUCCAAAGAUAACCAAACAUAAGUAUACUUAACUCUAUAUUUCUAGUUUAUUUCUCUCAUUUUAUUCAAAAUAUUUAUAUUAAUGAUUCUUAUUUCUCAAAAUUAGAUAAUAUACAAACAAUUAUGGACAAAAUCAUUUGCUACUCACUUAAAAUACAUAUCAAGUUCUUUUUUCUUGCAUUAAUAAAAGUUGCAUCUAAAUUUUCAAAACAACAACUAAAUUAUCGUCUUUAUAUUUUUAAAGUUUUAUCUCCAAACCUAUUAAUAGUUUAUUCUCUUAAAAUUAAAAAAAAAAUAGUUAAGUUAAAAUAUAUUUUAAAUACAAAAAACUUAAACAAUGAAUAAUUUAUUUUAUUUUUUUCAAAAUUUAAAUAUCUGAACCUGACCCAAAAUAUCUGAACCUGAACAUAAAAUACCCGAACCCGACUCGAAGUGUAGAAAUACCCGAACGGAUAUACCUUUAUACUGAAAUAUCCGAUACAAACCCGAACGUAUUUUUUGAACGUCAACCCCUAUGAUAUAUGAUCAUUUGUAUCUUGCUUGGACAAAAAAAAGUUAAACCAUUGAUCACAAAAUUUUUAAUGGGGGACUUUUACAAUUUUUAGUAAUUUAUAAUCGUUUUAAAAAAUUCAAAAUAUAACAUAUAAGAAAAAUUCUAAUUGUUUUUAUUAUAUGCUUAACAUGAUUGUUUAAUUUAUUUUAAUAGUAUAAAAUUGAACAAAAAAGAAAAGAGGUUAGAAGUUUUUUUUAUCAAAUAUGUAUUAUUCAUAAUCAUUAAUUGUGAUAUAUAUGUUAACCAUAUUGGGUAAUUUUGUAGCUUUUAUUUAAGGAUAGAAAAAAUAUUCUUUUGUACACUAGUAAUUAAUUUGAUAGUUAGAUUAAUAAAAAACAUAGUAUAUGUUUAUAUAGACCAACUUAUUUUUCUAACAAUUCUAAGAAUCAUUCUCAUGAUGACACGUGGCUACGAAAACAUGUUGUAAUGCUCCAACAUUAAUAUAUAGGGGAUGAUUUUAAAAAAUAUUAUAUUUAAAAUUGAGAGGUGUCGGAAGAACAAACUCUUUCAAGAAUAUGUUUUUUUGGAUAGUUAAUUGUUUAAAGAAAAUUUAGAAGUUAAGAGUAGAGAAACUAUUUGAAAUAUCCAAGUUAAAUUCAUGCUAUCUAGAUGAAACUUGUAAAAAUGCUUUAGAGGUUGAGUUAUUCUUGGGUUCACCCCUAGGGUGAACCUCUAGGUUCAUCAACCAAUAGAUUUCAUUAUUUCAAAUUUGAUAUCUUUUAAAAAACGAAACAAAAUAUUGGCAAGUUAUAUUAUGUUUUUAAAAUUAAAAAAAAUAAGAAAAUAAUAGUUUCAGAAAAAAGAAUUAAAAAAACUUUUUUUAACGUCGUCAGCAAAACACUAAACCCUAAAUCCUAAUCCCUAAACCCUAAAUCCUAAUCCCUAAACCCUAAACCCUUGGGUAAACUCUAAACCCUUGGGUAAACUCUAAAUCCUUGGGUAAACCCUAAACUCUUGGAUAAAUCCUAAACUCUAUAAACAAAAACAUUGAACCUUAAAAAUCUAAACCCUAAACCCUAAACCCUAAAUCCUAAACCCUAAACCCUUGAGUGUUUUAGUGUUUAAUGAUUUUAAUUUAAAGUUUAAGAAUUAUCCUAGAGUUUAGGGUUUACUCAAGGGUUUAGAAUUUAGGGUUUCGGAUUUAAGGUUUAGGGUUUAGGAUUCAGGGUUUAAUGUUUUGCUGACGACGUUAAAAAUAUUUUUUUUUUGUAAUUACUACUAUUUUUUAUUUAUUUAUUUAUACAUUUUAAUUUAAAAAAAAUAAUAUAAUUUGACAAUAUUUUGUUUCUUUUUUUAAAAGAUAUCGAAUUUGAAAUAAUGAAAUCAUAUUGGAUGGUGAACCUAGAGGUUCACCCCCUAAGGUGAACAUCUAGGUUCACCAGCCAAUAUGGUUGUGUUAUUUCAUAUUCGAUAUCUUUUAUAAAAGGAAACAAAAUAUUGGCAAGUUAUAUUAUAUUUAUAAAAUAAAAAGAUAAAUAAAAAAUAGUAGUAAUUACAAAAAAAAUAUUUUUAACGUCGUCAGGAAAAAACUAAACCCUAAACCCUAAAUCCUAAAUCCUAAAACCUUAAUCCUAAAACCUAAAUCCUUGGGUAAACCCUAAAUCCUUGGAUAAAUCCUAAACUCUAAAUCAAAAACACUAAAAACUUUAGGAUUUAGAAUUAAGGGUCUAGGGUUUAGGGUUUAGUGUUUUAGUGUUUAGUGUUUAGUGUUUUGAUUUAGAGUUUAUGAUUUAUCCAAGGGUUUAGGGUUUACCCAAGAGUUUAGGGUUUCAGAUUUAGGGUUUAGGGAUUAGGUUUUAAGGUUUAGUAUUUUGCUGACGACGUUAGAAAUAUUUUUUUUUAAAUUCGUUUUUCUGUAACAACUAUUUUUUUUUUACCUUUUUAUUUUAAAAACAUAAUAUAACUUGGCAAUAUUUUGUUUUCUCUUCUAAAAUAUAUUGAAUUUGAAAUAAUAAAAUCCUGCUGGUUGGUGAAUAACUCGAUAACGAAUUAAUAAAAAGUGGCUUUGAAAACUUUUAAGGCUUUAUAAUCUAAAAAUGAAUAAUAAAUAUAUUCUAAAGCCAUAAGUUGCUGGCUUAAAGAAAAAAUCAACAUAACACGUUAAAACAACAAAAAGUGGGCUGUGAGAAAUUUUACAAAGACUUUGAGGAUUUUUAAAAAAUUUAAACGUGAUUGGAAAAAACUAAACUUUGAAGACUUUAGAAAGAAGUCAAGCUUCUCGCUAGAAACUGUAAGUAUGUGCAUGCAACAUUGCAUGUCACUGCAGAAGCAUAAGUUUGCAAUGUUGUUUAGAGAUCAAGAUCAAUGAUGCUUAAGCGUAAGAUUUGCUCUUCUAAGUUUACUUACUCAAAGCUUGUAUUUUCCUCGUUGUCAGUCAUGAGAAAAACUGUAGACGGCACGAUUUUGGCAGGACCACAAGUGUAAGCAAGCCCAGGACCAAGCAACUUGAAGUUCUUUUUUUUUUUAUAAAAGUAAGCUUGAAGUUCUUUGGAAGCUUAAUAGUUUUGUUCGUAGUUCCAGCCAAACCAACACUAACCUGAAACUGUGAUACAGCGGAUGAUGGAUCUUGACCCCAAGCUCUAACUACCUGGCGUUUGCAACAGUUUGAGAACUGUUGAUUAUAAGGGACACCUGGCAAGAGAUCAACGACACUUGGGGUUUUCUUACAGCAAUGAGGUACGUUUCCCUUGCUAGUACUAAGAAUUGUUGUUUCCAAGUGUGUAAGACCUUGACAUGAACCAACCAACUUGAUUUAUAAGUCUUCAAAUCUUUAAUCGCAGUAAUUUUCAUAUUAGCAGCCAUAGAGAUGUCUUGUUGGUAGUGGUUUGUUUAUGAAGCGUUCUAGGUAACCAUAUUUAUAAUAACAAUGGGAAAACACGUUUAGGUAUUUAGGUUCGUAUUUUUAGGGAUACCUUGGAGAAUAUUCUGAAUCGUAUCUCGAAGGAUUUUCAAAAUUAAAAUAUACUUCCUCUGUUCUCGAAAGUAAGAUUUUAUAAAGUGUUCACGUUUAUUAAGAAUUCAAUAAAUUUUUAUAAUUAAAAUUUUCUUUUACUUUAUUAUGCAAUUUUCAAUAACUUUUCACCAAUGAAAUUUAAUCAGUUCAAAUAUUUUCAUUUAAUGUUUCUUAAAAGUAUAAAAAGUAUCUUAAAUAUAUAGAAAAUCUAUCUUUGUGGAACAAAUAAAAAAUCUAAAACAUCUUACUUUCGGGAACGGAGAAAGUAGUUAAUAUUGUGGAUUAUAUUUUAACGAUGAGACAAAUUAGGUGACCAUAAUUUAGAAAAUCGUUUUAAAUAUAUUCAUAUUCUCGGUUAUUGCUAUAAAUGAUUAUGAUUGUUACCAAAGCUAAUAAUUAUAGAGUUAGCUAAAAGCUUCAAAAAUAAUCAACAUGUAUAUUGUUUUCAUAUAUUAAUUGUAUCUAGCAGAUUGUUUAGUUUGUUUGUAUUAAAUGAUACUAGGUUCUUUCUCC
rnacentral:lncRNA from 1 species